rnacentral:rRNA from 1 species
UCGAACGCGAAAGUCCCCUUCGGGGGACAAGUAGAGUGGCGUCCGGGUGAGUAACACGUAGGUAAUCUACCUUCGGGUGGGGAAUAACGCAGGGAAACUUGCGCUAAUACCGCAUAAUGCAGCGGCACCACAUGGUGACAGUUGUUAAAGCGGGGGAUUUUCGAACCUCGCGCCUGAAGAGGAGCCUGCGGCAGAUUAGCUAGUUGGUAAGGUAAUGGCUUACCAAGGCGACGAUCUGUAACCGGCCUGAGAGGGCGGUCGGUCACACUGACACUGACAUACGGGUCAGACUCCUACGGGAGGCAGCAGUCGGGAAUUUUGGGCAAUGGGCGAAAGCCUGACCCAGCAACGCCGCGUGAAGGAUGAAAUCCUUCGGGAUGUAAACUUCGCAAGAAUGGGAAGAAUGAGUAGGGGCUAAUACUCCCUAUGAUGACGGUACCAUUUGUAAGCUCCGGCUAACCCCGUGCCAGCAGCCGCGGUAAUACGGGGGGAGCAAGCGUUGUUCGGAUUUACUGGGCGUAAAGGGCGCGUAGGCGGCCAGCGCAAGUCAGUUGUGAAAUCUCCGGGCUUAACUCGGAACGGUCAACUGAUACUGCGCGGCUAGAGUGCGGAAGGGGCAACUGGAAUUCUCGGUGUAGCGGUGAAAUGCGUAGAUAUCGAGAGGAACACCUGCGGCGAAGGCGGGUUGCUGGGCCGACACUGACGCUGAUGCGCGAAAGCCAGGGGAGCGAACGGGAUUAGAUACCCCGGUAGUCCUGGCCUUAAACGAUGGAUGCUUGGUGUCU